rnacentral:tRNA from 1 species
GCUCUCGUAGUUCAAUGGAUAGAACAGGAGACUUCUAAUCUCCUGAUGUAGGUUCGAUUCCUACCGAGAGCACAA